GGGGUCUAUUAAGAUUGUAUAGAGUACCACGGGGCUGUUAACUGCUAUCAGGAGAGCAUCACACAGGACAUUCUGUUCUUUCCUGAAGCCAACAUCACCAGCCCAGCUUCUAGAAAAUAUCACAAUCCCCUGAGAACAAGGAUGUAUCAGGGUCUUCAUUAAACCCUCCAGUUCUUUAUGAUCUGAGAACAGCUUCUUACAGAGGGAUUCUGGUUUAAAUUGUACCUCUUCCUGUGUCACUGAAAAUUCAAGGAAUAGAUGUUACCAAAACUUACAAAAGCAUGUGAGCCUCCUUAAAUUUGUGGACUUUUAUGGGAUAUCCGGGACUUUUUCGUGCAGAUGAAGCUGAUGAAAUCAGGCAAGAGUUGUAGUCUGUGACCAAACUGGGAGGAGCUAGACAAUUACAUGGAAAGUUGUUUCAGACAAAAAAUAAAAAGUUAAAAAAAAAAAAAAAAAAGCCUCUUUUUUUGGCUCUUCUUACUGGAGACCUGUGAUGUGCAUGGGUGCCUGAGCAGUCGUACUUACUAUGCGUCAGACAGCUCACGUAUGUCAGGAAAGGAAGUCUGGGGAUUCCUACAGGGGACAUAUCACACAUAUUCUAAGUCACUGUGUGACUCGGCUUGAGCAAGUCAUUUCACCUCUCUCUCACGCUGGAGUGAAGUAAUAAUCCCUAAGCUUCCUUUCAAUUAUAAUAUUCUGACUCCAGGUUAUCUCUAAGAAGAAAAGGCAUCUAGUGGGGAUCAGCAAGGAUUAAAGCACAGUAUUUUAAAAAUGGUGUUGGCCAGAUGUGAUGGCUCACACCUGUAAUCCCAGCACUUUGGGAGGCCGAGGCAGGCGGAUCACGAGGUCAGGAGAUCAAGACCAUCCUGGCUAACACGGUGAAACCCCGUCUCUACUAAAAACAAAAAAAAUUAGCCAGGCAUGGUGGCCGGCGCCUGUAGUCCCACCUAUUCGGGAGGCUGAGGCAGGAGAAUGGGGUGAACCCAGGAGACGGAGCUUGCAGUGAGCCGAGAUAGCGCCACUGCACUCCAGCCUGGGUGACAGAGCGAGACUCCGUCUCAAAAAAAAAAAAAAAUACAAAAAAAUACAAAAAUUAGCUGGGCGUGGUGGUGUGCCUGUAAUCCCAGCUGCUCGGGAGGCUGAGGUGGGAGAAUUGCUUGAACCUGGGAGGCGGAGGCUGCAGUGAGCUGAGAUCGUGCCGCUGCACUCCAGCCUAGGCGACAAAGCAAGACCCUGUCUCAAAAAAAAAAAAAAAUGUUGUUACAGUUGUUUAUGUCCCCAUCUAAGGUUAGAUGGAAUCAAAAGUGGCAGGAUCUUUAGGGGAGAGGAGAAGAGAAGUGAACUCAAACAAAUUAAGAGAAAGAAUGACCCAAUAAAAUUCUCCAAUCACUCAAGUUUUGAUGAAAUCUGGAACAUACUGGCCGUGAAGGCAAGCAGAUAGGCGUAGUUCGGCCUAUAGUCCUUUAUGGAUUGAUUAGGAAUCACCAAGGCUGAUUCCAAUCAAAACUGAAAGGUAAGUGAGAACACCAGGGGUCCUGCUCCCCCCAGCACCCCCUUGCCCUAGCAUCUCCUUUUGCAUCAUUUUCCCCCACUUGGUGGUGCCCUAAGCCCAGUGGCUUAAGGUUAUUAGCUCCUAAUGUUACUGAAACAAUUCAAAUUUGUCAACAAUGUUUUGCUUGAAAGAAUUAGUGGAGUAGUGGAGUCAUUUAUUUUUAUUUUUUUAUUUUUAUUUAUUUAUUUUUUUGAGACGGGGUCUCGCUCUGUUGCUUAGGCUGGAGUGCAGUGGAGUGAUCUUGGCUGACUACAACCUCCACCUCCCAGGCUCAAGCAAUCCUCCCACCUCAGCCUCCCAUGUAGCUGGGACUACAGGCAUACACCACCACGCCUGGCUAAUUUUUAUAUUUGGGGGAGAGAUAGGGCUUCGCUAUUUUGGCCAGGCUGGUCUCAAACUCCUGGGCUUAGGCAAUCUGCCCACCUUGGCCUCCCAAAGUGCUAGGACUGCGCCCAGCCUCAGAGUUAUUCUUAAACAGUGUUUCUCUAGAAUAUCAUCUCUAAAAUGAGGCUAUUCCAAUUUUGACUGGGAUGAUCAGCCUGCACAAUUUUUUCAACAGGUUUAUAGACAAUAAAAGGAGACCUUUCCUAACUCAUUGCUGAUGGCAUACUGUAACUUUCCUUUAAAAGUUGCUUAGGCUGGCCAGGAGUGGUGGCUCACACCUGUAAUCCCAGCAGUUUGGGAGGUGGAGGUGAGUUGAUCACUUGAGGUUAGAAGUUCAAGACCAGCCUGGGCAACAUGGCAAAACCCCAUCUCUAUUAAAAAUACAAAAAUUAGCCGACAUGGUGGUGUGUGCCUGUAAUCCCAGCUACUUGGGAGGCUGAAGCACGAGAAUCACUUGCACCUGGGAGGUGGAGUUUGCAGUGAGCCGAGGUCACACCACUGCACUCCAGCCUGGGUGACAGAGUCUAAA
rnacentral:lncRNA from 10 species